AAUUGAACCCAGGGCCUGGUGCAUGGUAGGCAAACACUCUAACAACUGAGCUAUAUCCUCAGCCCCCACUAUAAGCUUCUUAUAAACAAGAAACCAGGUCUUUUUCUACUUCUGUAUCCUAAGUGUAAUAUUCAGGGUAGGCAAAGUCAUACAGCAGUAGUUAAGCACCUCAAGUCUCAGGGGCUUUAUUUCCUUCUCUACCUACCUAACUGUGCGGGUCAGCAAAGGUACUCUGAUCCUUGUGUUCUCUCAGGCACCCAAGUUGAUGAAAGCUUCAUCCUGACACCCGCUUCCCUGAGGAAGCAUGAGGAACUCUGCUGCCAGCUUUUGAAGUUUCUGUCAGUGUGUAAAAGCGUAUCAUUCACGCACAGCCAGAAGAAUGAGAAGUUGUACUCCAUUUAUGUAUGAUGUGUCAAAAUGCGUUUUAUGGUCAUGUAUAACUAAUUAGAACAAAUAAAAGAAGAAAGCACAUCAUUCCACAUGUGUGUCACUCACUAGUACAGGUCCAAGGGACAGGCCUGACUUCAAAAGGGUUGGGCAAGGGCAACCUUAACAAGUGCUGAGAGAGAGGAGCCAGGGACACAGGAUACACUGCAGCAGUGAUUCACACUCCGUUGUCUGCUAGGUUCCAGGCUCCUGGUGAGCGUUCUGUAUGUUUUUUUCACUAAAGGUGUAGGCUAACCGUAAAGGAGAAGAAAGUUGCUGGUUGAAAAUGAAGGGCAUAUUAAUUACAGUGUAUUUGUACUUUCUUUCCUGAUUUAAACUUUUAAAAUCUGUAAGGGAACCCCUAGAGAAUAUUUCAAAAUGAAGGACCCAUGUGAAUACUUGCCUUUAUGCAGGAAAUGCACUGAUUAAUCAUUUGGUUUUCCACCCUGACCUAGUCAAUGUUUCUGCCAACGAUUUGAAUGACUGCGGAUGUUGACAUGUAGAAAACACUUGCGGGCUACAUGAACCUGGAAGCAAGUUACUGGACCUUUCACAUUGAUUUGUGAAGAAAGGACUAAAAUUUUUGAGUGGACACUGCACUUAUGAUCCAGAGUCUCUGAAAUUUUUAUGAAUCAACCCAGUGGUGGAAUAUUGGAAAUCCAUUGUUCAAGUUCAGAAAAAGGCUUGCCAAAGGUUUGCCUUUGAAGUUGUUUAAAGAGAUAAAAGUGGAUACCCCCAGCGCUGCCAAGUUAAUUGCUUACAUCUUCUUUCUUGGAUGAAGAUGACAUUUGGUUGUAGAAGGAAAGCUAUCCUCAAGAGAGAAAUUGGAAAAGAGUAUUAAGAAAUAAUUUUCUUGUGGGGAUAUUUAUAUUUUGGAUGUGAGCUGUCUCCCCCAAAUCUCAUGUGUGAGACAAUGCAAGAAGGCUUAGAGCCUCACCUGGAGCCCCGAGGAAUAGAACCAGAUGUCUGUGGAUUUAGACCUCUGAAACUGUGAGCCCCCAAAUAAACUUUUCCUCCUCUGAAAUUGUUCUGGUCAGAUCUUUUAGUCACAACUGCAAAAAAGUUGACUAAAACAUGGUAAAAUAAUAUAAAGAGACUUAUUAGUGUUGGGUCUAAAAACUCAGUAUGGGGACUGGGGAUAUAGCUCAGUUGGUAGAGUGCUUGUCUUGCAUGCACAAAGCCCUGGGUUCAAUCCCCAGCACCACAAACAAAACAAAACAAAACAAAACAAAAAAACUCAGUACCAUGAGGAUGAUGUGCAUAAAGGACUCAACAGUGUUAAGAUUGCAAGAGAAGCUCUCUGGCAGGAGAGUGGGGGUUGGCUCCUGAGACAAUUGGUCUCAUGGCCCUGCUAGGAGCUGUUCCUGUCUAUACACUGUAGCUCUUGCUGUGCUGUCCUGUACUGGAUGUGAUGUGAUCUCACAAUGACUGUGACUGUCCUUUUCAACAAAUAGUGUUUUAAAUUUAUGAAAAUAUCAAAAACUGAAUGUUACUCAUUGGAUUUAUACAACCCUUCAGGAAAUUCUUCUUUCUCAGUAUUUACCCAGGGCAUUCCUGAGCUCAUCUACUCUAUGUUGCUGUUCAACUGCUGUCCUCAUCUGCUCGGUUCUCUCGGCUGCCCUGUUAGUGUGACGUUGUACAUUGCCACCCUCCCUGACACUAUCCAUGCCUUCAUCCAGGCCUCAAUUGAUCAUGUUAUGAAUCUCUCAGAUGAUUCUCCUUUUAUUCAACUGGCAUCAAAGCAAAAUUAUCCUAGGGGCAGCCAAGCUGUUUUUCCUUUACUUGCUUUCGAAAGGCUUUAUAAAAUAAUAAUGUGUAUAAUUUGCAGUUAUGAAUUAAUUAUGGUAGGAGAAACAGUCACUAAAUUGCUGUUUGUUUUAUAACUUUUUUUCCUCAUGACAUCCAACAAAUAACUGAAAUAAAUCGCUAAUACUAGCACACCUUUUUAUUUAUGUCUGUCUUUCCUACGUACUCCUCAAGCAUAAAACAAAUGCAUGCUCCAUCUGACUCUCCACUGUACCCACAAAAUCAGUUCAGGGCCUUGUUUUCUCUUGGACUCCUAAAGUAGAAAGUUAGUUGUAAUGUCUGAGGCCAUCAGCACAACUAUGACAGACAGCUCAUCUCAUUUGUGUUUAUCCUAAUACACAAAGGCACUGCAGAGACAGCAAGGUUUAAUUCUUGACCUAUUUGAUUCAGAGAGAAAUAAUCUUAAAGAAAAAAAUACAGCAUUGGGAAGAGAUUGAUUUUUCACUAGAAUUGUUUAGAAGGCAAUGAACUGGUAUAAUUCCUUAACAUAAAGCCAAAUCACUCUGAUAUGCCAUCCUUUCAACAUUUAUAUCCUAAAAUGGUUUUGUGUUGUAAACUGGGAUUAUGGUAUAUUGAUUUUGUUAUCACUCUAGACUCUUAAUAGCCAAAUCAUUAAGGGAAUAAUUAGCAUGCUGUCUAUGUAUUCAUAAAUUACAAAUUUAACUCUGGACACAUUUAUCUUCAAACAAAUUGAUAUUGAGUCUACAAAAGGAUUUUUUAGUUUUUUUUUUUGGGGGGGGGUGAUUUUAAAAACUGUCUUGCCUUUAGGAUAGUCCUUACUUACCUGUGGUUUGCUUUCAGUUACUAAGAUCAGUGUCAAAGUGUGAAAAUGGUAAAUGAGAAAUUCCAGAAAUAAACAACUCAUAAAUUUUAAAUUAUCUAUGAUUAUAAACAGCAUGAUGAAAUCUUGUGUGUUCCCUCUCCAGCCCACCCAGGAUUCAAAUUAUUCCUUUGUCCAGAGCAUCCAUGCUGUAUAUACUACCCACCUGUUAGUCACUUAGUAGCUGUCUCAGUUAUCAGAACUACUGUUGUAUAGGUAACCGUUAAUUAGUAGCCUAAUGUUGCAUCAUUUCAUUUCAUCACAUAGACAUUGUAUCAUUUUAUCACAUAAACAUUGUUUCAUUUAAUCACAUAGACCUCACAAGAAUAAGGGUGAAUAUAGUACAAUAAGAUAUUUUGAGAGCAAGAGGGGAAAAAAAGAGCACAUUCACAUAAUUUUUAUUG